AUUAGUGCUUUUAGCAUAUCAUUAGAAACACUAGCCUCUCAUCAAUAAUCAAGAAUAGAUUUUUUCCUAUACCAUUAAGAAAUACAUAAUCGUCUCUUGACUAUCUAUCCUUUUUCUUAAACGUCUCACUUAAUUACAAUUUUGAAAAACUGAAUUGAAACAUAGCAAAAAAACUCUCUCUAGAAUAAGAGUUCCUCUCGGCGAAAGCUGAAAUGGCCAUGAAAUCGAAAACUGGAUGGAAGGGAUGCAGAAUCUAGGCAGUACGCAAAGGUUAACAAUGAUGAAAAAAGAAAUUCCUCAAUCCAUGGAUGCGAAGAAGACCAAAAGUGUAAAUGUGUUGCAAGGGAUUGUUCCAUUCAAUCUAUCGCAGAUUGGAAAGUUCAGAAACAUCAAUUACUACUCCAAUUGGAAGUAAAUCCAAUGAGACAAGAAAACCUGGUUCCUCCAACAAGAGUUCGUGGGCAGACCAAGUGGCUGCAGAAGUGGGAGAAUGCGGAAAUUCAGAAGUAAUUCUCAAGAUCAUGCACCUCUCUUUCCUACUUAUAACGGAAAAGGGUACAACUGGUUGGAGAAAUUAAAUGUUGACAAGGUAGCACAAGUAAAUCUAGGCGUGUUCAUUGUACGAUACCAUAACACAGAGGAUCGGGAGAAAGCUGUAGAGGAGGGGGUUCAAAUGUUUGACAGGAAGCCUAUAGUUGUGAAUGUAGACCGGACAUUGAUGUAACAAAGGACAAGGUGGAGAAGGUACCAAUUUGCGUAAGGUUGGUAGGACUGGAUAUAAAGUAUUAGGGAAAGAAUCUCUAACAAAGAUAGCAGGGUUUUAGGCAAUCCUUUGAAGACAUACAAGGAAACUACUCACAAGGAAAGGCUUACAUAUGCACAAGUUCUUGUGGAAAUGACACUAAAUAAGCCAUAUCCAUCUGAAAUUAUCUUUGAAAAUAAGAAUGGAAAAAAUAUAGAACAAUGGGUGGAGUUUGAAUGGAAGCCAGUUCUGCGUUCAGGAUGCAAAAACAUUGGGCAUGAAUUGAGUGAAUGUAGAAGACAACAAAGGGAUAAAGCUUUGCUAGAUAGAUUGGAGAAAGGAAAGCAGACAACAGAACCAAAUGAACCUAUGAAUGUAACUACCCAGUCAAAUGAAGUGGGAAAUGCCAAAAAAAGCUACAGGAGGUCAAUAAAAUAGAGGUUGCUCAGGGGUCAUGUAGCACAAGUAAAGCAGAUGAUAAUCCAGGAGAUGAACCUGGAAAGAGGCAGGGCCGGGUCGGGGGGGGGGGGGGGGGGGGGGGGAUCCCAUCCUAAAUGGAUAGUAUCGGAUUUUGGAACUCCAGGGGUUUAAAUAGAGCUAAAAAGCAAAAGGAGAUGCAGGUGUUUUGGAUUAAGAGAGCCAAAGCUAAUUAGGUUGCUCUUAAUAUAUGUAAUGGAUGGUCCUUUACUAUAAAACUCCUAGAACACCGUGGGAAAGAAUAUGGUUAUUGUAGAAGCCACAGAUGUACUUAGUGGAUAUUAGAUUGGUGACAGGACAAGUGAUUCAUUCUAUUUUACAGCAUAGAGGUAUAGGUAGAAUAUUCAACCUAACAGUGGUGUAUGGAUACAAUGAUCAAGCAAUGAGAAGGGAGUUAUAGGGGAUGUAAAAGGUGCAAAUGAAAAUAUGGUUGGACCCUAGGCUAUAAUGGGGCAUAGGGUGCUUGUCAACAUAUAUUGGUUAUCCACUCUUCCUGCAUCCGAAGUUCAUUAUAAAAAUGAAAGACUCUAUGAUCACUGUCCUGCAUUUAUCAGAUGGGAAGAUAGAGUGACACAGGGGAGGAAGCAAUUUAGAUAUUUUAAUAUAUGGAUCUUGGCACCUGAUUUCAAGAAAAGGGUGAAAUCAAGCUGGAAAAAAUGGCCAAAAGGCAUAUGUAUGUUCAAGCUGGUAGGGAAAUUGCAUAGGUUGAAGAGUGUGCUGAUGAAACUGAAUAGAGAGAGGUUCAAUGAUAUGGAAAAGCAAGCUGACAAUGCAACGGAGAAAUUGAUGAAGUGUCAAUCUGAACUUCAACUGAACCUAAGAGAUAGCAUGAUGAUUGAGGAGGAAGGAAAGUUAGCUAAGGAAUGCAGGCAACUACAGAAGGCUAAACAACAGUUUCUUCAAUAGAGAUAAAAAAUGCAGUGGCUGAAAGAAUGUGAUCAAAACAUAAAAUUCUUUCAUAGUUUUUUGAAGGCUAGAAGAAAUACCAAUGGUGUUUGUAAUAAGGGACAAAGAUGGGGUGGAGCAAACAGAAAUAGGGGCAAUAAGACAAGAUUUUGUUGACUAUUAUACAAAGCUACUAUGCAAGCAAAUAAUGAAACGAAGCAUGCAAGCAAUACAAUAAUCAAAAUGGGUCCUCUUGUCUCCGAUGACCAUAGAGCACUAUUGGAAGCAUAAUUUAGUGAGAAGGAGGUGAAACAGGCCUUGUGGGCAAUUAAAGGGGAAAAGUCACCUGGUCCUGAUGGUCAUGGAAGCUAUCUUUUUUAAGAUAGCUGGGAUAUUGUAGGUAAGGAGCUAGUGGAUGGGGUGUUGGAAUUAUUCACAACAGGGAAGAUGCUGAGAGGGGUGAAUGACACUAUCAUCACAAUGAUACCAAGGAAUUCCCAUGCAGCAACAGUUGGUGACUAUAGACCAAUCUCUUGCUGUAAUACCACACACAAAAUUAUAUCCAAGAUGUUAUGUGCUAGAUUGAAAAUAGUAUUACCAAAGGUCAUCUCAAGCAACAAAAGUGCAUUUGUUGGUGGAAGAACCAUAGUCCAAAACAUAUUGAUAUGUCAAGACCUUGUGAGGCUUUAUAAAAGGAAACAUGCUACUAGAAGUUGCCAAACCAAGAUAGAUUUGAGAAAAUCUUAUGAUUCUGUGGAAUGGGAGUUUGUGGAGGAGAUGUUACAUAGCAUGAAAUUUCCCCAUGAGGUUAUCAAAUGGAUAAUGGAGUUUGUGUCCUUAACUCAGUAUAGAAUUGCAUUGAAUGGUUUUGUGCAUGGAGAAAUAAAAGGGAAAAGCGGACUAAAGCAAGGUAAUCCAAUAUCACCAUUACUAUUUGUCAUAUGCAUGGAAUAUUUCACAAGGUUCAUGAACUGGGUGGCUACACAGGAAGGGUUUGAAUUUCACACAAAAUGCAGAGGAUUGAAACUAAACCAUCUAUACUUUGCUAAUAAUACGUUGAUAUGCAAAGGGGAAAUCCAUUCUGUGUUGUUGAUGCUAAGAGGCCACAGAACCUUCUCAGAAGCAUCAGGUUUGACAACAAAUGUAGCAAAAUCCAACAUUUUUCAGCAAAUAUGAAUAACAUGGAGCUGGAUGACUUGUGUGAGAUUAAAGGCUACACCAAAGACAAGUUAACAUUCAGGUACUUGGGAGUACUAAUCUUUACCCAAAAAGAUUCAGAUGGUGAGAUGUUGGUGGACAAGAUGGUGUCAAGGGUGAGAACAUGAGGGUCCAGAAAUCUAUCAUAUGCUGGUUAAUUCAAUACUAAUGUAAGUACAUUCAUAUUGUUCAUCCAUUUUUAUACUACCUAAAAAUGUUUUGAAAGAGAUCAUAGUAGUUUGCAAGAAUUUCAUUAGGAGUGGGCAAGUGAACUCUAGUAAAUCCCUUCUAAUAGCUUGGAAAAAUGUAUGCUAACCAAAAAGGGAGGGAGGAUUAGGAGUUCAUAACUUUGUAACAUAGAAUAAGACAACAAUAGCUAAAUAUGUGUGGAACAUUGCAAGCAAGGUAUACAACUUAUGGGUAAAAUGGGUUAAUCAUGUGUAUAUAUCAAGGGGUGGACUAGUGGCAAUACAAGGCCCCUCAAGAUAGUUAUUGGUACUGAAAAAGGUCUGCAGUGUAAAUGAGAGGUUUGCUAAUGGGUACUGUGAGAAUGGUUGGAUCAAGCCUGCAGAGAAAUAUACAAUAAGUAGUGGCUAUAAAUGGAGAAUGGGGGCUGGAACUGAAUGGCCAUGGUGGAGAGUAGUAUGGAGAAAGGCAGUGAUCCUUAAGCAAAGUUUUAUAUGUUGGAUUGCUAUGCAUGGAAGGUUGAUGACUUGGGAGAGACUUGCAAAAAUUGGGAUUUGUCAGGAUACAUCUUGUCUGAUAUGUGGGGAUUAUCUUGAAAGUAUGAAAUGUCUCUUCUUUGAGUGCACAUUCUCAUAGGCCUGCCUGGAAGAGAUACUGAAGUGGUUAGGAAUUCGAGUUCACAACACUGACCUGAAAAAGAGCUAGUGCAGACUGGCUAUAAGAGCUACAGGGAAAAUAAGUAGAACAUUCAUCUGGGCUGUGCUGGCAGCAAUAAUAUACAAGAUUUGGAUGGAAAGAAAUAAGGCUCUAUGGAAUCAUCAAGUCCCUAGUCCUCAUAUUAUCAGCAAACAAGUACAAUAAGAGAGUAAAUAUAGAAUUUUUGAAAUUUUAUAUAGGAAACCAACUUGUUAAGAUAGAGGGUGGAUAGAAAAGUUAUACAAUUGGUGAGGGGAUGGGAAUGGAGUUUGGAUAGAAUUGAGCAGGAUAGGUGUUUUUUUGGUCUGUUUUUGAGUUAAUUGUAGGGUGUUGUAUUGCUGUGUGGGCUGUUAUUUGGAAAGUUGAAAUAAAAUGUGUUCGGCUGAUAAACAAAAAUUGAAAUAUUUAGAAUAGAAUUGGAAAAAAACAUCAAUGGCUUCUUAUUUUUUAAAAUGUCAGUAUUUUCAAACAAAAAGAAAACAACACAAAAUAUCCCUAGAAUGCGAAAUAGUUCCCCGCCCGUGCCCUUCCCUAAACUAAUUCUGCUUUCACCCACCCAAUCGGCUGAAAAUAUUUAACCGAGUCCCCCCUCGCCCAGAUCCUAUGAUACCAUCUCAGUAUAUUUUUAUACCAUGAUGGUAUCAUGGAGGACUAAGAGAGUGUCUCAUUGAAGGAGUAAAGCAGUCCUCCAUGAUAUCAUCUGAGUAUAUGGUAUAUAUCAUGAUGGUAAUGGAAGACUGCGGAGUGUCUCAUUGAAGGAUUGAAGCAGUCCUCAUGAUAUCAUUUCACUAUAUGUAUAUAUGAUGAUGAAUCAUAGUUGUUGUUUUUUAAAGAAAGUGUGUGUUUUGAAUAAAUGAACAUGAUCCUCUAUGAUACCUUGUCCGUAUAUUAUAUAUACCAUAUGAGUUACAUAGAGCGUUGAUGAGUGUGUUUUGAAGAAAUGAAAGAAGUUCCCUGUGAUACCAUCAUGGUAUAUAAGAGACAGGGUACCAUGUUGGUAUCAUAGUUCUGAGGGCAUGAAAGUAAGGGGGUAUGAGCGGGUAAUUAUUUUAUUUUCAGGGGUCAUCAACGUUCUUUCCCCUAAAACAAAUUCAAUUUGUCAGAAGACUAAGAUUUGAGACCAGUGUGAAUAAUUUCUUGUCAUUGAUGCUUUUAGGAUGGCUAAAUAUAUCAAUGCCCUCUUAAACUUGUCAGUAAAAUUUCAUUCAACCACUUGAAUUAUGAUCUGUCCCUGUUGAGCACCUGAAAAUAUAAUAAAGUAUUUUUUAGA